AGUGAACGCUGGCGGUAGGCCUAACACAUGCAAGUCGAACGGCAGCACAGGAGAGCUUGCUCUCUGGGUGGCGAGUGGCGGACGGGUGAGGAAUACAUCGGAAUCUACUCUGUCGUGGGGGAUAACGUAGGGAAACUUACGCUAAUACCGCAUACGACCUACGGGUGAAAGCAGGGGAUCUUCGGCCCUUGCGCGAUUGAAUGAGCCGAUGUCGGAUUAGCUAGUUGGCGGGGUAAAGGCCCACCAAGGCGACGAUCCGUAGCUGGUCUGAGAGGAUGAUCAGCCACACUGGAACUGAGACACGGUCCAGACUCCUACGGGAGGCAGCAGUGGGGAAUAUUGGACAAUGGGCGCAAGCCUGCUCCAGCCAUACCGCGUGGGUGAAGAAGGCCUUCGGGUUGUAAAGCCCUUUUGUUGGGAAAAAAUCCAGCUGGCUAAUACCCGGUUGGGAUGACGGUACCCAAAGAAUAAGCACCGGCUAACUUCGUGCCAGCCGCCGCAGUAA
rnacentral:rRNA from 1 species